rnacentral:lncRNA from 1 species
CCCUGUCUACAUUCCUCAGAUAGAUCAGACAAAACAAAAUUGAACAACAUCACGCAUGGAAAUAUUGUGAAUUGUCAUAAGAGGAAUUUGACAUGCUCUCUUCAUCUGUCACCUUGCAAUUUUUACUUUUCGAGUUCUCAGUACGAUACAAUAACCUGGAAAAGGGUAAUAUGAGGCGCAUAUCUAUUCAUAACGGACAUAUGACAUAUAGAAUAAUAUAAGAUUCAAUGGUGAUUGAUCGAUCAGGUUGGAAAGCUGUGCUGGCGUUGAAGAAGGAAGUAAAUACCGACCCCUUCCUCAGCACUGCUGCGUAGGCGCCAUUUGCGCUGUUCGUGGAUUCAGAAUUUCUGCUGUUACCCGU